rnacentral:rRNA from 1 species
GAUGAACGCUGGCGGCGUGCCUAAUACAUGCAAGUAGAACGCUGAAGCUUGGUGCUUGCACCGAGCGGAUGAGUUGCGAACGGGUGAGUAACGCGUAGGUAACCUGCCUGGUAGCGGGGGAUAACUAUUGGAAACGAUAGCUAAUACCGCAUGACAACAGUUAUUGCAUGAUAACUGUUUAAAAGGGGCAAUUGCUCCACUACCAGAUGGACCUGCGUUGUAUUAGCUAGUUGGUGAGGUAACGGCUCACCAAGGCGACGAUACAUAGCCGACCUGAGAGGGUGAUCGGCCACACUGGGACUGAGACACGGCCCAGACUCCUACGGGAGGCAGCAGUAGGGAAUCUUCGGCAAUGGACGGAAGUCUGACCGAGCAACGCCGCGUGAGUGAAGAAAGUUUUCGGAUCGUAAAGCUCUGUUGUAAGAGAAGAACGAGUGUGAGAGUGGAAAGUUCACACUGUGACGGUAUCUUACCAGAAAGGGACGGCUAACUACGUGCCAGCAGCCGCGGUAAUACGUAGGUCCCGAGCGUUAUCCGGAUUUAUUGGGCGUAAAGCGAGCGCAGGCGGUUAGAUAAGUCUGAAGUUAAAGGCUGUGGCUUAACCAUAGUACGCUUUGGAAACUGUUUAACUUGAGUGCAAGAGGGGAGAGUGGAAUUCCAUGUGUAGCGGUGAAAUGCGUAGAUAUAUGGGAGGAACACCGGUGGCGAAAGCGGCUCUCUGGCGUGUAACUGACGCUGAGGCUCGAAAGCGUGGGGAGCAAACAAG